rnacentral:tRNA from 1 species
UUGAAUACUAUUAAUUAUUAGUGUAGGAUUGUAAAUCUUAUUAAGAAUUUUAUUUCUC